UUCUGCUGUUUGUGCAGGUACUGCCGUGGAUCCUGCAUGAAAGGCCAGCCACGAUAACGACGACUAGUGCUGGAAUGAUGCCGUUUUCGGUGUCUCACUCUGACCACGUGACAACGAACUUUUCAUUCGUGGGAUACGAACUGCAAGGUGUGACGUCAUCAGCAACAGACCUACUAAAGGAGCGACGCGACUACGACCAGAUCAGAGGGCACGGCACCUGGCCUGCGGACAGCAUGGCUCACCCGCUUCUGCUGUUUGUGCAGGUACUGCCGUGGAUCCUGCAUGAAAGGCCAGCCACGAUAACGACGACUAGUGCUGGAAUGAUGCCGUUUUCGGUGUCUCACUCUGACCACGUGACAACGAACUUUUCAUUCGUGGGAUACGAACUGCAAGGUACUGCCGUGGAUCCUGCAUGAAAGGCCAGCCACGAUAACGACGACUAGUGCUGGAAUGAUGCCGUUUUCGGUGUCUCACUCUGACCACGUGACAACGAACUUUUCAUUCGUGGGAUACGAACUGCAAGGUGUGACGUCAUCAGCAACAGACCUACUAAAGGAGCGACGCGACUACGACCAGAUCAGAGGGCACGGCACCUGGCCUGCGGACAGCAUGGCUCACCCGCUUCUGCUGUUUGUGCAGUUACUGCCGUGGAUCCUGCAUGAAAGGCCAGCCACGAUAACGACGACUAGUGCUGGAAUGAUGCCGUUUUCGGUGUCUCACUCUGACCACGUGACAACGAACUUUUCAUUCGUGGGAUACGAACUGCAAGGUGUGACGUCAUCAGCAACAGACCUACUAAAGGAGCGACGCGACUACGACCAGAUCAGAGGGCACGGCACCUGGCCUGCGGACAGCAUGGCUCACCCGCUUCUGCUGUUUGUGCAGGUACUGCCGUGGAUCCUGCAUGAAAGGCCAGCCACGAUAACGACGACUAGUGCUGGAAUGAUGCCGUUUUCGGUGUCUCACUCUGACCACGUGACAACGAACUUUUCAUUCGUGGGAUACGAACUGCAAGGUACUGCCGUGGAUCCUGCAUGAAAGGCCAGCCACGAUAACGACGACUAGUGCUGGAAUGAUGCCGUUUUCGGUGUCUCACUCUGACCACGUGACAACGAACUUUUCAUUCGUGGGAUACGAACUGCAAGGUGUGACGUCAUCAGCAACAGACCUACUAAAGGAGCGACGCGACUACGACCAGAUCAGAGGGCAUGGCACCUGGCCUGCGGACAGCAUGACUCACCCGCUUCUGCUGUUUGUGCAGGUACUGCCGUGGAACCUGCAUGAAAGGCCAGCCACGAUAACGACGACUAGUGCUGGAAUGAUGCCGUUUUCGGUGUCUCACUCUGACCACGUGACAACGAACUUUUCAUUCGUGGGAUACGAACUGCAAGGUGUGACGUCAUCAGCAACAGACCUACUAAAGGAGCGACGCGACUACGACCAGAUCAGAGGGCACGGCACCUGGCCUGCGGACAGCAUGGCUCACCCGCUUCUGCUGUUUGUGCAGUUACUGCCGUGGAUCCUGCAUGAAAGGCCAGCCACGAUAACGACGACUAGUGCUGGAAUGAUGCCGUUUUCGGUGUCUCACUCUGACCACGUGACAACGAACUUUUCAUUCGUGGGAUACGAACUGCAAGGUGUGACGUCAUCAGCAACAGACCUACUAAAGGAGCGACGCGACUACGACCAGAUCAGAGGGCACGGCACCUGGCCUGCGGACAA
rnacentral:misc_RNA from 1 species